CCUACGGGAGGCAGCAGUGGGGAAUAUUGCACAAUGGGGGAAACCCUGAUGCAGCGACGCCGCGUGAGUGAAGAAGGAAUUCGUUAUGUAAAACUCUAUCAGCAGGGAAGAAAAUGACGGUACCUGAGUAAGAAGCCCCGUCUAACUACGUGCCACCAGCCGCGGUACUACGUAGGGGGCAAGCGUUAUCCGGAUUUACUGGGUGUAAAGGGGGCGUAGACGGCAGUGCAAGUCUGGAGUGAAAGGCGGGGGCUCAACCCCCGGACUGCCCUGGAAACUGUACGGCUGGAGUGCAGGAGAGGUAAGUGGAAUGCCUGGUGUAGCGGUGAAAUGCGUAGAUAUUAGGAGGAACACCAGUGGCGAAGGCGGCUUACUGGACUGCAACUGACGUUGAGGCUCGAAAGCGUGGGGAGCAAACAGGAUUAGAUACCCGGGUAGUC
rnacentral:rRNA from 1 species